GCAAUGAAUACUGAAUACAAGUACUGACAUAGACUGCCAAGAGUGCGCUGAAUACGUUCCAGGAAAGCUAAGUCGGUAGCAACCAUCACCUUUUGUAUUUCUAAGUUUCGAGUAACAGCAUGGCGUAGUUCAAGAAUGUGCUCAUCUCAUGCGGCAGUGUAAAACGUACGAUCGCAGGGAACAGUGCUUUAACCUCUGAAGCGUUGGAGGAUAAAGCUCGUUUUAACCGGCAUGCUACUUUGCACUGCGUCGCGUCCAGUGGUCAGGCUGCAAAUGUUUUCCUUUAAGCAAUCGUUUUUGCUGAUACUUAAGAUUGCUUUUCCUACAUGAGCUAGCCUUGCUAAAGAGCUUUUUCGAAUAUCAUCUGGAUAAAACGCAAUGCAGGGCAUUUAUAUGCUAUGCUUUGGCAACCAGUCAUCCACCUUCUAUGGUUUUGCAGGUUUUGUUGAAAAAUAGCCAUCCAUCGGCGACGUAUCGCUAACGUUGAAAGAACAAGCUUCGCCUAAACGUGAAAAUAUGUUGUUUUCCAUCAAUACUGUUGAGGAUUGAAAAGAGUCUCGUUGGAAAAAGGAAGCUGGGAGCCGGUAAGAAAUUACGAAAGCUGUGACUCGACGAAGUUGGGAACGUUAGCUGAUUCUAGCUGUACUUCCAUGGAAAUAAUUCAUUUAAAUUCACCACCUCCGUCUAGCGAGGUCUAUCCUUCUGGAAAUUCAACUCUACUCACAAACAGGCGAAAGGUCGGCUAUGCCGGCCUUGGUCGGGCUUUCUCUGGCAAACCUGCAUGACGAUCUAUAUCAAUUCACGAUUUCGCAAAAUCAAAUUCGCGAUCGCCAGAAUACUUGCAUCAACGGCAAGCAAAUUUACAGAUCAACCAGCCAGGCCACCCUAUGGUCCAAGAUACAGCAAGCGAAAUGUUAUCUUAGGCUGAACGCAUUCCCCAAAGUUAAUGGCUUCCUAAAUGAAUAAAUAAUGAAUUAGGGUCGAUUUAAAUAAGUUAUAUUGUGUGGAAAUAAGAUUUUCGAAUGCUGCCUUGCCGUCAACCAAGGCACACGAGCAGGAAACGUUUAGCAUUUUUUGAAUAUUCCAAGUUUAAACGCUCCUUUCAAAUACAAAAAUUGAAACAAGAUGAUUCUAAAAUGCCUCAAUUAUGUAUAUAUAUAUAUAUAUAUAUACGUUCGGAUUAUAUUUUUGUUGCAGAAGUAGCAAGUUCAUUUAUUACACAUUAUCCUCUCUUUUAGAAUAUAAAUUUUCACAACAAGUAUCUUAUGAAGCCGUUGAAACUCGUUUCAAAAACUUUGCGAACGCACUAAAAGUGGUUGAAAUAAAAAAAAGGCAGGGGAGUGCUUUA